UGCUGACUGCAUGAAACAAAACCACCUCUCCUCUAGAGCCGCCUGAAAGGACAGGCUCAGAACACAGCUCACUCAGCAUGCUCUGGCUCAAGAACCCAGAAUGGACCCCAAAUGGCACUGAGGAAAGAGUCUGGUGCCCACCGAGCUGUGUGAUCUCAAGCAGGUCCCUCUACCUCUCCGGGCCUGUUUCUUCCU